GUGAACCGGGAUGAGCUCAAAUUUGAAAUCUGGCGUCUUUCAGGCGUCCGAGUUGUAAUCUAUAGAGGCGUUUUCCGCGCCGGACCGCGUCCAAGUCUCUUGGAAUAGAGUAUCAAAGAGGGUGACAAUCCCGUACUUGACGCGACAACCGGUGCUCUGUGAUACGUUCUCAACGAGUCGAGUUGUUUGGGAAUGCAGCUCUAAAUGGGUGGUAAAUUCCAUCUAAGGCUAAAUAUUGGCGAGAGACCGAUAGCGAACAAGUACCGUGAGGGAAAGAUGAAAAGCACUUUGGAAAGAGAGUUAAACAGCACGUGAAAUUGUUAAAAGGGAAACGAUUGAAGUCAGUCGUGUGAAAGGUAUUCAGCCGUCUCUGGCGGUGUAUUUGCCUUUCACGGGUCAACAUCAGUUUAGUCCGGUAGAAAAAGGCUGGAGGAAGGUGGCACCCUCGGGUGUGUUAUAGCCUCCUGUCAUAUGUGCCGGAUUAGACUGAGGAACGCAGCUUGCAGCAAUGCCGGGGUUCGCCCACGUACAAGCUUAGG
rnacentral:rRNA from 1 species